rnacentral:rRNA from 1 species
CAGUAGCCGCGGGAAUACGUAGGGUGCGAGCGUUAAUCGGAAUUACUGGGCGUAAAGCGUGCGCAGGCGGUUCGUUAAGACAGAUGUGAAAUCCCCGGGCUUAACCUGGGAACUGCAUUUGUGACUGGCGAGCUAGAGUAUGGCAGAGGGGGGUAGAAUUCCACGUGUAGCAGUGAAAUGCGUAGAGAUGUGGAGGAAUACCGAUGGCGAAGGCAGCCCCCUGGGCCAAUACUGACGCUCAUGCACGAAAGCGUGGGGAGUAAACAGGAUUAGAUACCCGUGUAGUCCCUGUCUCUUAUAA